rnacentral:rRNA from 1 species
AGCAGCCGCGGUAAUUCCAGCUCCAAUAGCGUAUAUUAAAGUUGUUGCAGUUAAAAAGCUCGUAGUUGAAUUUCGGGGUUAGUAGGUUGGUCAUGCCUCUGGUAUGUACUGAUCUCACUGAUUCCUCCUUCCUUAUGAACCGUAAUGCCAUUAAUUUGGUGUUGCGGGGAAUCUGGACUGUUACUUUGAAAAAUUAGAGUGUUUAAAGCAGGCUAACGCUUGAAUACAUUAGCAUGGAAUAAUGAAAUAGGACGUUCGAUCUUAUUUUGUUGGUUUCUAGGAUUGACGUAAUGAUUAAUAGGGAUAGUUGGGGGCAUUAGUAUUCAAUUGUCAGAGGUGAAUUCUUGGAUUUAUUGAAGACUAACUACUGCGAAAGCAUUUGCCAAGGAUGUUUUCAUUAAUCAAGAACGAAAGUUAGGGGAUCGAAGACGAUCAGAUACCGUCGUAGUCUUAACCAUAAACUAUGCCGACUAGGGAUCGGAUGAUGUUAAUUUUUAAUGACUCAUUCGGCGCCUUAAC